rnacentral:lncRNA from 1 species
UCAGUGAUUAGCAUUAGCAACUGUUGAAUGCCUUCUUUUUUAUUUUCAUUUAUUCUUAAAAGUUUAAUAAUAAUAUUCAAGUAUUAUUAACAAUAUUUUAUUUUUUACAUCUAUUAACUGAUGUAUGUUAAAAUGAAGUUUGUAUAGCGGCUGUGCAGCGAAAUUAGACAAAGAUGCAGACUCUGGAUUUCACCGACUCUAAAUAAGAAAUAAGCUGAUUAAAUUUUUUUUUAAUAAAUUUUUUCGAACGGUAAAAGUUGACAGAAAUGAAUGAAAACAAUAAAUAGUGAACUAUUAAAUAAUUGUCUAUCAGCUUGACAGUAAUGUAUAAUUGAUUUAAUAUUAAUACGAAUCGUCGUUAUUUUUACUGUAAAAAAAAAUUCUAUCAAUUCAUUUCUAAUUUAUAGUUCAAAGAAACGGAAAAAAAAGUGAUAUAUAAAAAUUUCUUUUACAAACAAAAAACUGAAAAAAUAAGUAAGAGUAUUUAUGUUUAAUUAAUAUCACCUCAAUAUAAAGAGGCGUGGACUUUAAAAAAAUUCAAGCACACUAUGGCUCUCGUGUCGUUGGAAAUAUUUUGGUGACUUGUUAACUAUUAAAUAAUUUAUCAAAGAGUAACACUAAUAUAUAAUUAAUUCUUUAUUAUUAUCAAUCGUUGUUGUUUAAACUUUAAAAAUUUUUAGUGACUAAAAAAAAGAAAUAUGUAUUUAUUUUGCGUCCGCAAACGUUGUUAACGUUCGAAGCAACUAGAACCUAUCUAUGCCAGCUCCAUCUGUCGGCUUAGUUUCCGAGUGAGUAAAACUCUGGCCAUUCGCUUCGCUUCCAUAUACACGACCCGUCAGGUAGACCCGGUUUAAGUUUAUCAUCAUAAACUAUUAGUGUCUUAACAUUUUUAUUUUAAUCUUUUUUCGAGGCUACUACGAUUUGCAUUUAGGAUAUCAAUUCUGAACGUAUUUUUAUGCUUACGGCUUUUUUUCCUCAAUCUCUAAUCUUAUAUUCAAAGAGCUCGAAAGUAAAUACUCUAAACUUGAGGUACACAAUAUUAGUACUGGAAAAUUUUUUUCCUAUCAAAUUCUUUUAUUUUCGCUAAAUGUUUUACUCAUGUUUCAACCUGAAUAUUUUCUUUAUGGAUUCGAUCGCUCAGUGAGCAAAACAUCCAAAGGAUCUAAAGUUUUGCUCCUAACCCCUGUUUUUAACUGAUGAAACGUUACUACUCAUGUGAAUAAAUGUAAUCGAACAUGUUAUUGAUUACGAUUGUAAUCGCUCUAAAUGAUCAUAUAUCAAAUCUUAUAUUAAAAUUCGAAUUUUUACUGUUUCCUUUCAUACACACAAAUUUAUUACUUUUUUCUUGCAAUCAUGCCACAUCGAUUAUUGACGAUGAAUAAGAGAUUCUAUUAAAGAUUGGUAUCACUUCGACUUCGUUCAACUUAUCUUAAAUCAACUUGCCUUGCUGCAAUCAUUGCUAAAAAUGAAAAAUAAAUUUAAACAAUCGUCUAUAUUUAAUACUAAUAGAAUUUAUAAUAAAUAAUCGAAUUCAAGAUUAUCACGAAAAAUUUGAAUUGUUUUACCGCAAAUACGAGCUUUAAUUAAACUAAAGUUACCCACGAAAGAGAAUAAAUUUCAAAAAAACAUUUAUUGUUAUCUAUUCAUCUUUCGUGUAAAGUUAAGUUACUACGGCGAUUCCGCAAUAUCGUAGGUUUUCAAUUUUUUAAUGAUAUCAACAUAUUUUCAAAUUGUUCUACAUGCAAAAAAUGUUUAAAAUCAUGAAAUUCCGCCAAGUUUGACUUGCCAUAAUCGCAAAACCAUAAAACUGUUUUUAUCAAUCGUUUAAUCAAAAAAUCACAUAAAUGUGCGUAAGAAAUUGUAGAUCGAAUGUUUGAUCAAAGUAUUAAAAAACAUUUGAUAGCAUAAAUCUUAUUCAGAAUUUUUCUUCAAGUGUUUGAAGUAUCCUACUAAAACUGCCAUUAUUGGAUAGAAGUAAAACUUCGCGCCAUGUCCACGUCGCAAAUGACUUUGCAAAUAACCAAAUUCUCAUUUUUGAAUAAUGAUUUUAAAAAAAUUUUGAAACACCAAAAAAGUUUGAAAUCAAUAGGAGUGCUAUGUCAUCUAUAAAAUUGAGUCUUUCUUUCGUCUCUUUCGAUGAAUUGUGUAAAAAAAUACUUUUUCGAAUUUUCCCAAAAAGAGAAAAAGGAAGCAUGAACUACAGUUUUUAAUGAAUAUAACUCUGGUCGUGAAAGACAAAGGUGUUCAAAUUCUAUCAAAAAUUUCUGGGCACAUCAAAAGUGUAAAACACAGAAGAAUUACGCUACAUUAAAACGAGAGACUUACCGUACAGGAGGAGGUGUCAAUGGAGCUUCGUUAGAAUUGUUAGAUUUGAAAACGAAUGUAAUCAAAUCGGCAUCAAUUAAAGGACUGGGAAAAAUUUACGAUUCUGAUGCUAUGGAAAAUGAGAGUCCAAACAAGCCAAUAUUUGAGUUUCUUAUAAAAAAAAAAGAAACUAAGUCAUGGGCAAGAUGUGCAACAACAAAUCUAAAAACUGCAUUAAGCCCUCCGCUCACACAAGUCAUCACAGACACCCCUAACAUACACCACCGAGAACCAGGUCCAUCGCAUGGCCACCCCGGAUUCACUUUUAAAAAACCAAAAAUGGAUAAUAAUACAAAGAAACCACCGGAAGAUAGCUUGAAAUCUACUAAAGCUGAAGUCUUCGAUCUCGUAAGAGACGCUUUAAUAGAUAAAAAAAGUUUAGAAAAAAAAUUAUUUGAAAAACAAAUUAAACGCGAAGAUUUACAAUUAAAGUUUCUCAAACGAAAGCUUCAAGAUUGUGGGGGAACGAUACUUAUGAUAUUUCAAAUUAGAAUAAUUUGUUUGUGUUAUUAUCAAUUAAAUCUUAUUUUAUAUAACUUUGAUCUCAAAAAUACAUAAAAAUGUAUUUUAAAAGUUGAUAAUGAGAUGAGUUAAAAAAAGUAUCGUAUUAUUCUUAUUUUCAUUCUUAUAUGUUCUUUAUACGUUAUUUUUAGUUCAUUUAUUAUUGUGUGUAACUCUUACGAAAUCUAAUGUUAUUUUUUAUAUUCCAAGAAAAAUAUUCAAUUACAUUACAUUCUACAAGUGAUCC